GCUAGUGUGGCAUAGUGGUUUGAGCAUUAGAGUAUGACUCUGGAAUCCAGGGUUCGAUUCCCACUCGGCCA